rnacentral:rRNA from 1 species
UACGAACCGUGCGAACGUAUUCGGAAUCACUGGGCUUAAAGCGCGUGUAGGCGGGACGGCACGUCGGUCGCUGAAAGCCCCCGGCUCAACCGGGGAACGGGCGCCGAUACGACCGUCCUGGAGGGACGUAGGGGGACCUGGAACUUCCGGUGGAGCGGUGAAAUGCGUUGAGAUCGGAAGGAACGCCCGUGGCGAAAGCGAGGUCCUGGACGUUUCUGACGGCUGAGACGCGAAAGCCAAGGGGAGCCGAACGGG